GAAGGCAUGUCAAUAGACCCUAGAAGGUCUGUAGACGAGAGCAGAAGAGGGAUAGUUAGAGGAGGUGGAUCAGAAGAAGUGAGGGAGGCCAUGGAGACUGAUCCGUCAAUGGAUGAAGGUAUGGGAGAGUCCGAGGGAGGCGUUCAGGCCUCAGGAUAUGGCUAUCCAUCCUUGUUUCAGGAUCCAGAGUAUCCGAUGGAGGGUAUGUCGGAGUACUCUCGUUUUGACCCAUAUCCUACACACAUGCCAUAUGUACCAUAUCCUCCCUAUUACCCAUCAUAUCCACCAUAUCCUAUGUAUCCACC
rnacentral:lncRNA from 1 species